rnacentral:lncRNA from 1 species
UAGCCCAUCAUUUAUGUAUUGAGGAGCGAGCCCUUAUUCUAUAAAAGGGAUUCCCUCACCUUCAACGCCAAAAGGUGAGCCAACCAAGGCAACAUAAGCCACAAGCCGAGCAACCUUGCAACAUGUGCUACUUAUAAUUGAGCAUCAUUGCACAUUGAGCACUGCCUCAUAUCGAGUAUCAGUUCUAGACGAUAUCUAGUUACUUCAGCCUACACAUAGACUGAAUUUCAAGUCUCCAGCCAAAAGACUCUCUUGACUGAAGACUUGGGGGACUACUGUUUGUACCAUACUUAGGGCCUUUGUAUUUAGACCUCGUAUAAAUACUCGGGGGACUCAAAUGUAAUUAUGUAAUAAAUGAAAGGGCAAAUAUGUAAUAAGUGAAGAGCCCUU